GAAGUGCGAACCAAGACGCGGCGACAACCGCGUAAGACUUGGAGCGGGCGACCGUAAGGGUGCCCUGCA
rnacentral:sRNA from 12 species